rnacentral:rRNA from 1 species
AUUGAACGCUGGCGGCAUGCUUUACACAUGCAAGUCGAACGGUAACAGGCCUUCGGGCGCUGACGAGUGGCGAACGGGUGAGUAAUGCAUCGGGACGUGCCCAGCCGUGGGGGAUAACUAUCCGAAAGGAUAGCUAAUACCGCAUACGAUCUGCGGAUGAAAGCGGGGGACCUUUGGGCCUCGCGCGAUUGGAGCGGCCGAUGUCAGAUUAGGUAGUUGGUGGGGUAAAGGCUCACCAAGCCAACGAUCUGUAGCUGGUCUGAGAGGACGACCAGCCACACUGGGACUGAGACACGGCCCAGACUCCUACGGGAGGCAGCAGUGGGGAAUUGUGGACAAGGGGCGCAAGCCUGAUCCAGCAAUGCCGCGUGCAGGGAGAAGGCCUUCGGGUUGUAAACUGCUUUUGUACGGAACGAAACGGCUCUGGUUAAUACCUGGGGCUAAUGACGGUACCGUAAGAAUAAGCACCGGCUAACUACGUGCCAGCCGCCGCCGUAAGAC